UACGGGGGGGGCAAGCGUUGUUCGGAAUUACUGGGCGUAAAGGGCUCGUAGGCGGCCAACUAAGUCAUACGUGAAAUCCCUCGGCUUAACUGGGGAACUGCGUCUGAUACUGGAUGGCUUGAGUUCGGGAGAGGGAUGCGGAAUUCCAGGUGUAGCGGUGAAAUGCGUAGAUAUCAGGAGGAAUACCGAUGGCGAAGGCAGGUCUCUGGGCUGACACUGACGCUCAUGCACGAAAGCGUGGGGAGCAAACAGG
rnacentral:rRNA from 1 species